rnacentral:rRNA from 1 species
UACGUAGGCAGCGAGCGUUGUUCGGAGUUACUGGCGUAAAGAGUGCGUAGGCGGUUUUCUAAGUUUGGUGUGAAAUCUCCCGGCUCAACUGGGAGGGUGCGCCGAAGACUGGAAGGCUUGAGUAUGGGAGAGGUAAGGCGGAAUUCCUGGUGUAGCGGUGAAAUGCGUAGAUAUCAGGAGGAACACCUGCGGUGUAGACGGCUUACUGGACCAUAACUGACGCUGAGGCACGAAAGCGUGGGUAGCAAACAGG